rnacentral:rRNA from 1 species
UACAGAGACUGCAAGCGUUAUUCGGAUUCACUGGGCGUAAAGGGUGCGCAGGCGGUUGGGUGUGUCAGAUGUGAAAUCCCGAGGCUUAACCUCGGAACUGCGUCUGAAACUACUCGACUAGAGUACUGGAGAGGGAAACGGAAUUCACGGUGUAGCAGUGAAAUGCGUAGAUAUCGUGAGGAACACCAGAGGCGAAGGCGGUUUCCUGGACAGUUACUGACGCUCAGGCACGAAAGCGUGGGGAGCAAACAGG